rnacentral:rRNA from 1 species
GCAGUCGAACGAUGAAGCCCAGCUUGCUGGGUGGAUUAGUGGCGAACGGGUGAGUAACACGUGAGCAACCUGCCCCUGACUCUGGGAUAAGCGCUGGAAACGGCGUCUAAUACUGGAUAUGUCCCGUCACCGCAUGGUGUGCGGGUGGAAAGAUUUUUCGGUUGGGGAUGGGCUCGCGGCCUAUCAGCUUGUUGGUGAGGUAAUGGCUCACCAAGGCGUCGACGGGUAGCCGGCCUGAGAGGGUGACCGGCCACACUGGGACUGAGACACGGCCCAGACUCCUACGGGAGGCAGCAGUGGGGAAUAUUGCACAAUGGGCGAAAGCCUGAUGCAGCAACGCCGCGUGAGGGAUGACGGCCUUCGGGUUGUAAACCUCUUUUAGCAGGGAAGAAGCGAAAGUGACGGUACCUGCAGAAAAAGCACCGGCUAACUACGUGCCAGCAGCCGCGGUAAUACGUAGGGUGCAAGCGUUAUCCGGAAUUAUUGGGCGUAAAGAGCUCGUAGGCGGUCUGUCGCGUCUGCUGUGAAAUCCCGAGGCUCAACCUCGGGCUUGCAGUGGGUACGGGCAGACUAGAGUGCGGUAGGGGAGAUUGGAAUUCCUGGUGUAGCGGUGGAAUGCGCAGAUAUCAGGAGGAACACCGAUGGCGAAGGCAGAUCUCUGGGCCGUAACUGACGCUGAGGAGCGAAAGGGUGGGGAGCAAACAGGCUUAGAUACCCUGGUAGUCCACCCCGUAAACGUUGGGAACUAGUUGUGGGGUCCUUUCCACGGAUUCCGUGACGCAGCUAACGCAUUAAGUUCCCCGCCUGGGGAGUACGGCCGCAAGGCUAAAACUCAAAGGAAUUGACGGGGACCCGCACAAGCGGCGGAGCAUGCGGAUUAAUUCGAUGCAACGCGAAGAACCUUACCAAGGCUUGACAUACACGAGAACGGGCCAGAAAUGGUCAACUCUUUGGACACUCGUGAACAGGUGGUGCAUGGUUGUCGUCAGCUCGUGUCGUGAGAUGUUGGGUUAAGUCCCGCAACGAGCGCAACCCUCGUUCUAUGUUGCCAGCACGUAAUGGUGGGAACUCAUGGGAUACUGCCGGGGUCAACUCGGAGGAAGGUGGGGAUGACGUCAAAUCAUCAUGCCCCUUAUGUCUUGGGCUUCACGCAUGCUACAAUGGCCGGUACAAUGGGCUGCGAUACCGUAAGGUGGAGCGAAUCCCAAAAAGCCGGUCCCAGUUCGGAUUGAGGUCUGCAACUCGACCUCAUGAAGUCGGAGUCGCUAGUAAUCGCAGAUCAGCAACG